AUACAUUCCAGUGUAAUUGGCAGCCUGUCUUCCUAUCACAUGAAAAACAAACAAACAAAACACAAAAACAGAAAUUGUAUCUUUAAAUGGUGUUUUAUUCUGAGAAGAGGGGAUCAUCAUCCUGAAGAUCUGUUCUCCAGCUCUUCUUUCCUCAGAAGGCUAUACAGGGAGAAGACAGGAAAGCCGUCAGUCAUUUCAAAGAUCACUCCCUGCCCAACUCAGCUAAGCUCCCAGUCAACUAGAAAUGGACUUUGAGUUCUCAGCAGCAGAGCUAUUCAAAGACAGAUGGCUUAGGACUCAAAGGGGAUGGACACCUGCAGUGGUCAAAGCCAGGGGACAUCCAAAGGGUUAGAGAUGAGAACUAAGGGAUGGAGCCUGGCGUCAUGGCAUGGAGCUGGCUUGGGAAAUGGAAACAUGAUACCAGCUGGAAAUGUAAAUGUUGUAGUAGAAACAGCUUCGGAGAAACAGCAGUGACAAGAUAUGCAGCCCUUACCCUCUCACAGAACUUAUAACCUGGAUGAGCUGUGUCAGCGGUAAUACUAGGCAUAACUGCUGGUAUACUGGUAGGUGAAAAAAACUCUGGAACUACCAUAAGAUGAAGAAAUACAAGACAAGAUUGAUG
rnacentral:lncRNA from 1 species